CGUGCCUAAUACAUGCAAGUCGAACGCACAGCGAAAGGUGCUUGCACCUUUCAAGUGAGUGGCGAACGGGUGAGUAACACGUGGACAACCUGCCUCAAGGCUGGGGAUAACAUUUGGAAACAGAUGCUAAUACCGAAUAAAACUUAGUGUCGCAUGACACAAAGUUAAAAGGCGCUUCGGCGUCACCUAGAGAUGGAUCCGCGGUGCAUUAGUUAGUUGGUGGGGUAAAGGCCUACCAAGACAAUGAUGCAUAGCCGAGUUGAGAGACUGAUCGGCCACAUUGGGACUGAGACACGGCCCAAACUCCUACGGGAGGCUGCAGUAGGGAAUCUUCCACAAUGGGCGAAAGCCUGAUGGAGCAACGCCGCGUGUGUGAUGAAGGCUUUCGGGUCGUAAGCACUGUUGUAUGGGAAGAACAGCUAGAAUAGGAAAUGAUUUUAGUUUGACGGUACCAUACCAGAAAGGGACGGCUAAAUACGUG
rnacentral:rRNA from 1 species